rnacentral:rRNA from 1 species
CGCUGGCGGCAGGCCUAACACAUGCAAGUCGAGCGGAUGAGAGGAGCUUGCUCCUGGAUUCAGCGGCGGACGGGUGAGUAAUGCCUAGGAAUCUGCCUGGUAGUGGGGGACAACGUUUCGAAAGGAACGCUAAUACCGCAUACGUCCUACGGGAGAAAGCAGGGGACCUUCGGGCCUUGCGCUAUCAGAUGAGCCUAGGUCGGAUUAGCUAGUUGGUGAGGUAAUGGCUCACCAAGGCGACGAUCCGUAACUGGUCUGAGAGGAUGAUCAGUCACACUGGAACUGAGACACGGUCCAGACUCCUACGGGAGGCAGCAGUGGGGAAUAUUGGACAAUGGGCGAAAGCCUGAUCCAGCCAUGCCGCGUGUGUGAAGAAGGUCUUCGGAUUGUAAAGCACUUUAAGUUGGGAGGAAGGGCAUUAACCUAAUACGUUAGUGUUUUGACGUUACCGACAGAAUAAGCACCGGCU